rnacentral:rRNA from 1 species
GAUGAACGCUGGCGGCGUGCCUAAUUCAUGCAAGUCGAGCGAACGGACGAGAAGCUUGCUUCUCUGAUGUUAGCGGCGGACGGGUGAGUAACACGUGGAUAACCUACCUAUAAGACUGGGAUAACUUCGGGAAACCGGAGCUAAUACCGGAUAAUAUUUUGAACCGCAUGGUUCAAAAGUGAAAGACGGUCUUGCUGUCACUUAUAGAUGGAUCCGCGCUGCAUUAGCUAGUUGGUAAGGUAACGGCUUACCAAGGCAACGAUGCAUAGCCGACCUGAGAGGGUGAUCGGCCACACUGGAACUGAGACACGGUCCAGACUCCUACGGGAGGCAGCAGUAGGGAAUCUUCCGCAAUGGGCGAAAGCCUGACGGAGCAACGCCGCGUGAGUGAUGAAGGUUUUCGGAUCGUAAAACUCUGUUAUUAGGGAAGAACAUAUGUGUAAGUAACUGUGCACAUCUUGACGGUACCUAAUCAGAAAGCCACGGCUAACUACGUG